UUUAUUCCAGAUUAAUACAGAUCUUAAAGGUGUAUUUGGACAUCUUUUGGAAGAGGUAGAGAAACCCACUGGGUAUAUAUAAUUCUUUCCUUGAUUUCAAUUAGCAAGAGACCAGACUGAUUGUUCUUCACCUUCAGUGUCUUAGUCUUCAUUAAAACUGACCUAAAAGGCACAAAUAAACUGAAAUUAAAGUAAUUUUAACAAAGGAGAAAAUCGGACACAUUUAAAGGCAGAAGAAUCAAGCAAAGUUGGAUAUGGUUUAAAGUUAAACAAACAAACUAGGUAUUAAACAAUUUGCAAUUAUAUACUUGGGAUACAGAAUUAAGAGUACAGAAUACGAAUAUUUAGCUUUUGAGAAAAAUCAGGCAGUUUUCCUUCUGGCAAAGUGGCAGGUCCUGAGAGAAGGAAUAACUCCACAGCUUGAGGGCCAGGACUAAAUCCCAGUCAUCUUUUCAUUACUGAGCACCUUCCACCGUGGCUGGAUAAAGAGCAGACAUCAGUAAAUGUUUACGGAAUGAAUGGAUAGCAUACUGUAUAAUUAGUAUAACUGGCGUAGCUCAAACCAAAUCAGGAAGGUUCCCUGAAGCAGGAGAAAA